rnacentral:tmRNA from 1 species
CAUCUUGAAUAGCUGCACGAUGCGGCCUAUAUUGGCGGUGUUCCCUUGGGGACUAUGGUGAUAAACGCGCAUGUAAUAAACGGAUCGGACCCGGGGGCGGUACCCGGCGACUCCACCAAAACCCGUUCAUUUGACGGUCAUGGGGUCGAAACAGGAUCGACGGACGUCUAAAGA